rnacentral:rRNA from 1 species
UACGAAGGGGGCUAGCGUUGCUCGGAAUCACUGGGCGUAAAGCGCACGUAGGCGGACUCUUAAGUCAGGGGUGAAAUCCUGGAGCUCAACUCCAGAACUGCCUUUGAUACUGGGAGUCUUGAGUUCGGGAGAGGUGAGUGGAACUGCGAGUGUAGAGGUGAAAUUCGUAGAUAUUCGCAAGAACACCAGUGGCGAAGGCGACUUCCUGGCCUGUUCUUGACGCUGAGGCGCGAAAGCUAGGGGAGCAAACGUG